rnacentral:rRNA from 1 species
UACGGGGGGGUAAGCGUUGUUCGGAAUUACUGGGCGUAAAGGGCUCGUAGGCGGCCAACUAAGUCAGACGUGAAAUCCCUCAGCUUAACUGGGGAACUGCGUCUGAUACUGGAUGGCUUGGAUCCGGGAGAGGGAUGCGGAAUUCCAGGUGUAGCGGUGAAAUGCGUAGAUAUCUGGAGGAACACCGGUGGCGAAGGCGGCGUUCUGGACUGCAACUGACACUGAGACGCGAAAGCGUGGGGAGCGAACCGG